rnacentral:rRNA from 1 species
UUUUUUUGCCCUCUUUUUGGUUUUUAGAGUUUGGGUCCUGGCUCAGAUUGAACGCUGGCGGCAUGCUUUACACAUGCAAGUCGGACGGCAGCACAGAGAAGCUUGCUUCUUGGGUGGCGAGUGGCGAACGGGUGAGUAACAUAUCGGAACGUACCGAGUAAUGGGGGAUAACUAAUCGAAAGAUUAGCUAAUACCGCAUAUUCUCUGAGGAGGAAAGCAGGGGACCUUCGGGCCUUGCGUUAUUCGAGCGGCCGAUAUCUGAUUAGCUGGUUGGUGGGGUAAAGGCCUACCAAGGCGACGAUCAGUAGCGGGUCUGAGAGGAUGAUCCGCCACACUGGGACUGAGACACGGCCCAGACUCCUACGGGAGGCAGCAGUGGGGAAUUUUGGACAAUGGGCGCAAGCCUGGUCCAGCCAUGCCGCGUGUCUGAAGAAGGCCUUCGGGUUGUAAAGGACUUUUGUCAGGGAAGAAAAGGCUGUUGCUAAUAUCGACAGCUGAUGACGGUACCUGAAGAAUAAGCACCGGCUAACUACGCAGCGUCCUUCC